AUCCAGCUGACGAGUUCCAAAUGGGACGAAACACGCAUCCUAAAU
rfam:Schistosoma mansoni, Puerto Rico, WGS project CABG01000000 data, contig: 0080